rnacentral:rRNA from 1 species
ACGGAAGGCAGCAGUGGGGAGUAUUGCACAAUGGGCGCAAGCCUGAUGCAGCGAUGCCGCGUGAGGGAAGAAGGUUUUCGGAUUGUAAACCUCUGUCAACAGGGAAGAAAAUGACGGUACCUGUGAAGGAAGCUCCGGCUAACUACGUGCCAGCAGCCGCGGUAAUACGUAGGGAGCAAGCGUUAUCCGGAAUUACUGGGUGUAAAGGGAGUGUAUGCGGGACUGUAAGUCAGAUGUGAAAUAUGCCGGCUCAACUGGCAGACUGCAGUUGAAACUGCGGUUCUUGAGUGAAGUAGAGGUAAGCGGAAUUCCUAGUGUAGCGGUGAAAUGCGUAGAUAUUAGGAGGAACAUCAGUGGCGAAGGCGGCUUACUGUGCUUUAACUGACGCUGAGGCUCGAAAGCGUGGGGAGCAAACAGGAUUAGAUACCCUGGUA